rnacentral:sRNA from 1 species
UUCCUGGGUAACACCUAGGUGCUUCAGG